rnacentral:lncRNA from 1 species
CAGGUCAUACCUACUCAGUUAUUUCUUGAUCAGUUGGCAGAGCUCUGUGUAUGUUGGUUAAACAGUGCCAUUAAGCAGUAUGUUUGUGAUAGAGAUAGUUAAACCAUAAAAACCAAAUACCUGAAACAGAAUUGCUAUGCUAGUCAUGCAAAUAUUCCACUGCGUACAGGGACAGACAGCUUCCUGAGGCUGUGAAUUCUUGAUAAGUAGGUAAAGACCUACAAGUUGAGAAGAAAUUGAGAAGAUAUUCAAGGCUGUUCCUCUUUUUCUUGCUUGAGACUGAAAGAUAAAUAAUGAAUAACAGCAAAACAAGUCUAGCAGUAAGAGAUGAGCUGCUUUUUUUUUGCCAUGUGACAAUUAUUUGCUUCAUUCAUGCCUCGUAACUCUGUAGCUUGUUGUCAGUGUUUUUCUUAGUCUUCCUAUACGGAGCCCUGGAGCAUACCCACACUAGUUGUUCUUGGAAGUAUGUUGAAAUAAUAUCUAAGAUUCAGGCAGAGGUGAAUGGAAGAGAGGGGAAGUUCUAAUUUGUAGUGACUGGCGUUCUCCAUCCUCUCCCUGAGAGAGUCAAUGUCUGCUUCAUCAACCCUGGCUGCCUACUGCAUGCAACAGUCUCCACCACCUUUCUUCACAAGGAAGAUUGCUUGUACAGAAGAAGGCUUCUCAGAUACUUUGGACACCUUGCACAGAUGCAUGCCACUGCCCUGAAUUCAGAAAAAGAGAUCCUGAACAUAUUGGUGGAACUGUGGUCAGUCACUUACAACUCAGACCUUACCUGUUUGGUAAAGGAAAUAAGGACAAUUAGAACUUCUUGUGAUAUUUCCAGAGCUUUGUCUGAAGGAAAUGAAGUAUUUUCCAUACAGUAUUCCACCCAGCCCUAAAACAAACUUUUGGGUGGAAUGGAGGUUGAGAACAGGUAUCAUAUCUCUAUCUUCUGAACAAGCUUAUUA